rnacentral:rRNA from 1 species
AUUGAACGCUGGCGGCAUGCUUUACACAUGCGAGUCGAACGGUAACAGGCCGCAAGGUGCUGACGGGUGGCGCACGGGUGCGUAAUGCAUCGGAACGUGCCCAGUCGUGGGGGAUAACUACUCGAAAGAGUAGCUAAUACCGCAUACGAUCUAUGGAUGAAAGCGGGGGACCGUAAGGCCUCGCGCGAUUGGAGCGGCCGAUGUCAGAUUAGGUAGUUGGUGGGGUAAAGGCUCACCAAGCCAACGAUCUGUAGCUGGUCUGAGAGGACGACCAGCCACACUGGGACUGAGACACGGCCCAGACUCCUACGGGAGGCAGCAGUGGGGAAUUUUGGACAAUGGGCGCAAGCCUGAUCCAGCAAUGCCGCGUGCAGGAAGAAGGCCUUCGGGUUGUAAAAUGCUUUUGUACGGAACGAAACGGCUCUGGUUAAUACCCGGGGCUAAUGACGGUACCGUAAGAAUAAGCACCGGCUAACUACGUG